GGAGAGGUGUCCGAGCGGCUGAAGGAGCUGGUUUCGAAAACCAGUGUGCAUCUAGGUGUACCGUGGGUUCGAAUCCCACCCUCUCCG
rnacentral:tRNA from 1 species